rnacentral:rRNA from 1 species
UGCCUUACACAUGCAAGUCGAACGGCAGCACGGGAGUAAUCCUGGUGGCGAGUGGCGAACGGGUGAGUAAUAUAUCGGAACGUGCCCAGUCGUGGGGGAUAACGCAGCGAAAGCUGUGCUAAUACCGCAUACGAUCUCUGGAUGAAAGCGGGGGACUCGCAAGGGCCUCGCGCGAUUGGAGCGGCCGAUAUCAGAUUAGGUAGUUGGUGAGGUAAUGGCUCACAAAGCCUACGAUCUAUAGCUGGUCUGAGAGGAUGAUCAGCCACACUGGGACUGAGACACGGCCCAGACUCCUACGGGAGGCAGCAGUGGGGAAUCUUGGACAAUGGGCGCAAGCCUGAUCCAGCCAUGCCGCGUGAAUGAUGAAGGCCUUUGGGUUGUAAAGUUC